rnacentral:lncRNA from 1 species
UGGGAUUUACACCAUGAUGUUAUGCUUUGGUUUGAGUCUAGUUUUCAACAAAAAAACAUUUCAGGAAGAAAUCAUUUAUGUAUUAAGAUAAACAAUUACUUUAUUGAGAGGUGCACAACUUGAUUUUCUACUAUGAAAAUUGUAUUGUGAUGUGAAUGUCAUUAAAUCGAAGACCCACUAAAUGGUGUGAUUUAGGGAUGGAGCAGAGCACUAUUUUGUAAUGCAUGUAAAAACAUCUUGGUUUCUUCACAAUGAAGGGAUAUGUAGAGAGACUAGGUGACAGCACAGAAACUUUAAAACUCAGUGGGAGAAUUAAAUUUGUGAGAUAUGAUGAAGAAGAGUAUUUCUUUAUAUACGUAUAGGAGAAUCCAAAGGCCGAAGAGGUGGAUGCUUCAUCGACGUGUAAAAGAUGAUGACCAAGUGUUUUUUCAUCAGUUGUGUGCUCUUUCAAGUUCAUAAAAGUUCGUCAGCACGUAAAAGCAAAGAAUCAAGAAAGUCUAAGUAUCACACUACAUGGUUUUGAGGUAUGAAAUCUAUUUCACAUUACAUGGUAAGGUCAUAUGGGAAAAGAUGAUUCAAUAACAUUUUAUUUUUUGCUUUAUAUACUUCUUUGAUUAUAUUUUGGCUAUUCUUUUAUGAAUAUGUAUGAAGUGUAUGACAUUAGGAAAUAACUAAGAAGUUUGAAAGAGCCAGUUUUUUUUAAUACCUUGUCUUUCAGUACCUACUUGUGCUUUUAAGAACUACAUAAGGUAGUGAUACACAUGGAGAUGUGGUUUGAUCAAGGACUAUAAGCUUAAGUAUGAAAGACGAGAGAUGAGUGUGACUCAUUCAAAUAUGUAAGCACAAAGAAAGUGUUCCGAUGGAAUCCGGUCUUAAUGACCAUCCCCCCAAUAAUGUUUAAUAAUAUGAUGUGUUGCAUGUGAUGAUGAUCUCAUGAUAAAAUCUUC